GAUGAAGAACGUAGCGAAAUGCGAUACUUGGUGUGAAUUGCAGAAUCCCGUGAACCAUCGAGUCUUUGAACGCAAGUUGCGCCCGAAGCCACUAGGCCGAGGGCACGCCUGCCUGGGCGUCACACGUCGUUGCCCCCCCAUCUACUCCUUCGGGAUUGCGGGGGGGCGGAUGAUGGCCUCCCGUGCGCCUAGCCGCGCGGUUGGCAUAAAUACCAAGUCCUCGGCGACGCACGCCACGACAAUCGGUGGUGGCGAAACCUCGGUUGCCCGUCGUGUGCGUUCGUCGCGCAUCGAGGGCUCGAAAAAAUGCUCGGCUCCGGCUGGGCUUUCAACGCGACCCCAGGUCAGGCGGGGUUACCCGCUGAAUUUAAGCAUAUCAAUAAGCGGAGGA
rnacentral:misc_RNA from 1 species